UGGGUAGCAUGCAACUAGAUGUGGGCAAGGACAAGAUGUAGGGAUCACAAACCUGUCUCAAAAUAACAGACCCAAGGAGAGUGGAGCUUCUAAGAAUCAUUGUCACCCAUGACAGCAACUUGAACGACCUAACCACGCCCAGUGUCUCCAUCAGAUGCAGGCCUAGCCUCUCUUUCAUAGACAUCCUGGCACUGAGUGGCUUACUGGUGGUCACUGAGUUCCUGUUUCUACCUCCUAGAUGAAUAUGCCAACUGUGUCCCAUUUGGGCUGAUCCUUCUAGUGUGAUGUCUUCUUGUUCAUGAAGGUGGUUUACUCCAUUAAUGAAACCCCAUCCCAUCAGUAUCUGCUUUGCCUUCUGUCUGUCUCUGAUGAUCAUCAGCCUGCACCUGGCCACCACCCAGCCCCAACCAUGACUCAGAGACCUCACUCCUUCCUACUCAUGUACUGUCCCGGCUCAAGGAAAUGCUGCCCCUUUGUGUCCCCUUGUGGAAAUACAUGGACCGGUCUGCCUGAAGAAACCAGUAGAGUUGAUGGAGAAUGGGCCAGCCAGGUCCUAGAGAGGCAAAGCCACGUGAGUGCCCUGAGUCAGCACGGACGAGAGGGAGUGAGGCUCUGGGCCAGGAGGCCCUUGGUGGAGCACCUGAUGGACACCCUGCUCUUCCUGGCCUCUUGUUCAUCACCAACAUAAUCCUCUGGGGUACCUAC
rnacentral:lncRNA from 1 species